rnacentral:rRNA from 1 species
AUCGGGGCAGGGUGAGUCGACCCCUAAGGCGAGGCCGAAAGGCGUAGUCGAUGGGAAACAGGUUAAUAUUCCUGUACUUGGUGUUACUGCGAAGGGGGGACGGAGAAGGCUAUGUUGGCCGGGCGACGGUUGUCCCGGUUUAAGCGUGUAGGCUGGUUUUCCAGGCAAAUCCGGAAAAUCAAGGCUGAGGCGUGAUGACGAGGCACUACGGUGCUGAAGCAACAAAUGCCCUGCUUCCAGGAAAAGCCUCUAAGCAUCAGGUAACAUCAAAUCGUACCCCAAACCGACACAGGUGGUCAGGUAGAGAAUACCAAGGCGCUUGAGAGAACUCGGGUGAAGGAACUAGGCAAAAUGGUGCCGUAACUUCGGGAGAAGGCACGCUGAUAUGUAGGUGAAGUCCCUCGCGGAUGGAGCUGAAAUCAGUCGAAGAUACCAGCUGGCUGCAACUGUUUAUUAAAAACACAGCACUGUGCAAACACGAAAGUGGACGUAUACGGUGUGACGCCUGCCCGGUGCCGGAAGGUUAAUUGAUGGGGU